rnacentral:rRNA from 1 species
UACGUAGGGUGCAAGCGUUAUCCGGAAUUAUUGGGCGUAAAGAGCUCGUAGGCGGUUUGUCGCGUCUGCUGUGAAAACUGGAGGCUCAACCUCCAGCCUGCAGUGGGUACGGGCAAACUAGAGUGCGGUAGGGGAGAUUGGAAUUCCUGGUGUAGCGGUGAAAUGCGCAGAGAUCAGGAAGAACACCCGUGGCGAAGGCGGCCCACUGGGCCGGUACUGACGCUGAGAAGCGAAAGCAUGGGGGAGCGAACAGG